CAACGGGUGAGUAACACGUGGGCAACCUGCCCAAAAGAGGGGGAUAACACUUGGAAACAGGUGCUAAUACCGCAUAACCAUAGUUACCGCAUGGUAACUAUGUAAAAGGUGGCUAUGCUACCGCUUUUGGAUGGGCCCGCGGCGCAUUAGCUAGUUGGUGGGGUAAAGGCUUACCAAGGCAAUGAUGCGUAGCCGAACUGAGAGGUUGAUCGGCCACAUUGGGACUGAGACACGGCCCAAACUCCUACGGAAGGCAGCAG
rnacentral:rRNA from 1 species